rnacentral:rRNA from 1 species
AGAUGGCGACCGGCGCACGGGUGAGUAACACGUAUCCAACCUGCCGAUAACUCGGGGAUAGCCUUUCGAAAGAAAGAUUAAUACCCGAUGGUAUAAUCAGACCGCAUGGUUUGAUUAUUAAAGAAUUUCGGUUAUCGAUGGGGAUGCGUUCCAUUAGGCAGUUGGUGAGGUAACGGCUCACCAAACCUUCGAUGGAUAGGGGUUCUGAGAGGAAGGUCCCCCACGUUGGAACUGAGACACGGUCCAA